rnacentral:ncRNA from 3 species
GACGGUGGCCAUGGAAGU